UACGUAGGGGGCUAGCGUUGUCCGGAAUCAUUGGCGUAAAGCGCGCGUAGGCGGCCCGGUAAGUCCGCUGUGAAAGUCAAAGGCUCAACCUUUGAAUGUCAGCGGAUACUGCCGGGCUAGAGUCCGGAAGAGGCGAGUGGAAUUCCGUGGUGUAGCGGUGGAAUGCGCAGAUAUCAGGAGGAACACCAACGGCGAAGGCAGCUCGCUGGGACGGUACUGACGCUGAGGCGCGAAAGCGUGGGGAGCGAACAGG
rnacentral:rRNA from 1 species